UACGUAUGGAGCAAGCGUUAUCCGGAUUUACUGGGUGUAAAGGGAGCGCAGGCGGCUUUGCAAGUCUGAUGUGAAAGGCCGGGGCUCAACCCCGGGACUGCAUUGGAAACUGUAAAGCUAGAGUGCCGGAGAGGUAAGCGGAAUUCCUAGUGUAGCGGUGAAAUGCGUAGAUAUUAGGAGGAACACCAGUGGCGAAGGCGGCCUACUGGACGGCAACUGACGCUGAGGCUCGAAAGCGUGGGGAGCAAACAGG
rnacentral:rRNA from 1 species